CUCCAGGGAUGUCCUGUGCCGCUCAGUGAAAGAGGUGGCACAGCACCUCACACCCUGUCAUCACAACCCACUCCCAAGAGAAAUGCUGGCCACUUGCCUCUGAUCUUGGCCUACCUCCUAGUCCACCAUCUGCUCAGUUUCCAUGGCUUUCAACCAAGGCCUUCAGACCACAGACUGCCUCUUCGUGCUCUGCUGGCCACAGCGCCAAACUCCAUUCCCUGUUCUCCAGUAAAAGACGCCAACUGCAUUCCUGCUCCUACCUCGGUCUCUGCAAUGACUCUCCCCGGGGAACCAGUACUCCCAGCCCUGCGCCCGCCAGAGUCGCUAAGUACACACCAACCCACCCUCCUGGAAUCUGUUAAUUCACCAGUCAGCCAGGCCCAUGUCCCCAGAGCAGGGCCAUGCCUAACCCAGCCCUGUAGCCAGGAACAGCCCCUCACAAGCUCAUCUACUUACUUGGAACGCUGCUGCUUAGUGCUCAGUAAACAGGGGGUGCUCAAUUAAUGUUGCUGCCUGCAUGCACUUUCUAAGGUUUAGAAUGCUGAUCUUCAACUGAAAUCAGAGAUCUGCUCAGGGAAAGCAAGUCAACCCUUCCCUGAAAUAGCGAUGCAAUCAGCAUAAAUUUCCACAACAUCAAUCAAAAGGGUUCACGGCAAGUGCCCAUCGAACCAAGGAAAGUGACCUUCGGAGCCCCUCCCACUCCUGCCCCACUCCACAUGCUUGUUAGCUGCUCUUGAUUGAUGGCUUCCCAAAAAGACGAUCCAUCACUGUUGAGAUGCACAAAGCUUCUGCCACAACUUGCAGGUUAUUCUAGCAUUUUGUAAAAAUGAGACAAAAUAUAAAGUCUUUAAAAAAUGCCAACUCAUGGGGAAAAGGAAGAGCUCAAAACAGCAUGGUACUGCCAGGCAUCAAUGAAACUAACAUAGACAGAAGAUGGAUGGAAUUUUUUAAAUAUAUAUGUAGGUGUACAAGACGCCUAGGUUUCAAACACAUGCAGAAAGCCAGUCAGUGUUAGAGUUUUCAAUCCAUGCUGGAAAUUCUUCGUGGCCAGGAGAGACUAAGACGAUUUUGUGCCCCAAAGCAUCAACGACCACUGAAAGUGAGCUCUUACUCAAGCCAGGCACUGUGCUAGCUGCUUUACCAUCCCUUUCAGCCCCUAUUACGAUAAAAGGCGAAAAUCUCUAUUUUGCCAAUGAGGAUUUGCCCAUGAUCACAGAGCUGAUAAAUGACAGUGCCAAAUCGAAACCAAAGGCAGGCUAACCCCCAAGCUUCUACUUUUACCCUUCUGCAUGCAAUUCUUCUACCUCUCAAAUUUUGAGAAAAGCCAAAUCAAGGUUAAAUGAUCAUGGCUACAAAAAUGAAAGGAUGAGUCUCAACACAUACAUGUGCUUGGAAGUUGUGUGUGGAACGGGAGAAGAAAAGCCUUACUCUUUACAUUGUAAGAUGGCCAAAAAGUUUAUAGACUAUAAAAUACUCCUUAAAGACACAGCAAUGGGCUGGGACAAAUGGAAAGACACAUCACAUUUGUGGAUAGGAAAACUCAGCAUCAGGAAAAUGUCAGUUCUCCCUAAGUGAUUUCAUGAAUUUAAUAUAAUCCCAAUUAAAAAAAUGUAUAUUGUUUUUUUCCCCAGAGCUGGGUAAGUUGAUUAUAUGUUUUAUUUGAGAGAACAAACAAGCAAGACUAUCCAGGGAAACACUAUAGACAAAGCAAAACAAAACAGCGGAGCAGGGACACAGGCUAAAUAGAUAUUGAAACAUAUUAUAAAGCCUUCAGUGUCGGCACAUGAAUUGAUAGAGCAAUAGAAAAAGAAAUGAAAAUCCAAAAACACACCAAACUGAAUAUAGACGUUUAGAAUGUUACAGAAAGCAGAAUCUCAAAUCGGUAUAGAAAAAAAAAAAUGGACUGUCUAAUGGAAAGCUGUUUAGUUAUAUAGAAAAACAUACAAAUGAAAUUAUGUCUCAUGCUGCAUGCCAGCAUAAAUUCUAAAUGGGUCUGAAGAAUAAAUACAUACAUACCGUACCUCCGUAUUAGGAGAAAACACGGGUCAUUAUUUUAUAAGCUGGAAAUGGGAAAAACGUUCCUUUGAGGUAAAAUCCAGAAGCAACAAAGGAAAAGGGACAAAUUUUGUCAGGUAAAAAUAGCAAUUUUGGCAUGAAAAACAUAACAUAAACAAAAUCAAGAAAUGAACACAAACUGAGGGAGGCAGGGAGAUUUGCAACAUCCGGUCCUCGUCCAGUUUACCCCAACACAGAAAGAGUUGCCAACAAUUCAAGAGGAUGGAAAUCCCUAGAGACAAAUAAGCAAAUGAUCUAAUUCACAGAAGAAAAGGCAAUGCCUCUUAAAUAUAUGGGGAAAAUUCCAAAUACUGCAGGACAUGCUCUCCGAUGUGGCUCUGGAAAAACACGCCCUCUCAUACCUGCUGCAGGAAGAAAACCAGAACUAUCCCCAAGGAGGGGAUUUGGGCAACGUCUGGCUGGACUGCAUACACAUCUACGCACUGACCCAGCAAUCCCACUUCUAGGAACCCUACCAAAAAUAUUCCAGCAAAAAUACAGAAGGACAUGGGCAUGACAUCACUCACAGCAGCACUUUUGGUAACAGUGAGAAACUAUGAGGAAACAAUCUAAGUGCCCAACAACAGGGAGCUGCUUGAAUUAACUGUGGUGCAUUCACAAAAUUGAGUACAAUGCUGGUAUUAAAAGAAAUGAUACUGGCACUAAGCCCUGGCUCUCUGCUAGGGAUGAUGUUGCCGCCCAAGGGCUGCGUGGCCAUGUCAGGAGACAUGUGUGAUUGUCUAAUGCAGACAGAAGUGCCACCAGCAUCUAAUGGGUACCGGCCAGGGAUGCUGUAAACAUCCUACGAUUCACACGACAGUCCCCCCAAAACAAAAAAUUAUCUGGUCCAGAGGGCUGCUAUGGACGACCCCUACUACAAAGUAUUUCCUUGGACACACUGGAAAGGGAAAAGAGCAGCGAAGAGCAUGCAUUGCUGAGCCCACUCCUGUUCUGGAAGCUCAGCAGAUUGAAUGCAAGCCUGCACAUCUGAACGGCCUCUCUCUGGGAGACAUUUUCCUGUGAUGAUAGGCUGGAUAAUCAUUAAUGAUGGAAUGAACCCCAGUCAUGUGCCAGCAUCUUUUGACGUUCGUGACCAUUUCACCGGAAGGGAUCCGGGUUCAAAGACCCAGGGGAGGACGGCCAUGCUGUGAUAUAACGAGAAGUGUGUAUUCAGUCUUCAGCCCCAGUUCCCAGCACAGAGCUCCUAAAACCCCUGUAAUUUCCUGAGUGAUGGGAUGAGAGGAGUGUAUUUUGUUGUUCAUAAUAAGCCCCUUUCAACCACACCUGAGUUUAUGCUACUGAGGUAACUCUGGGAAGAUGGGGGCUGGCUGCCAGAGGAACCAACCUCCUGACUGGAGAGUUGAACUUUCAGCUCCAACCCCCAACUUCCAAGGGGAGAGAGGCGGGGCUUGAAUUCCACCAUGAACAGCUGGUCAUUUCAUCAAGCAUGCCCAUAUGAUGGGACCUCCAUAAAACCCUGAAUGACAGGGCUGGAGAGCCCCCGGUAGGUGAGCACCCAGACGUGCUAGGAGGACGAUGCCUGGAGAGUGUGUGGGAGCGUCUGCCCUUCCCCGGACCUCGCCCUGUGCAUCUCCUCCAUUUGGCUGUUCCUGAGUUGUAUCCAGUGAUCCAGUGAGCAAAGUGUCUCCCUGAAUGCUGUGAGUCUUGGGUUCAUUCUCCAGAAUGAACCCAAGGAGCAGAUCAUUGGAGUCCCCAGUUUAAAGCCAGUUGGCAACAAGUGACAACCCAGGGCUUACAACUGGGAU
ensembl:lncRNA